CCUCCCUCCUUUCUUUCUUUGCUAUUAAUAAAGUUGGAUGGUGGACAUAUGGUGGAUAUAUUUAUAAGAUUUUCAAAAUCAGGUCAUGAUAAAAUUUUUUGUGGAUUCCCAUCUCAAAUAGAAUAUAUAGGUUUUAUCCCUAUUUUAGGUGAUAUAGAUUAUGUUAUAAUCACUACUGUGCCAAAAUCUAAACCCUUCUUACAUUGUGACUCUGGUUCAUGGAGAUAUAGCAUCUAUGUUCUCUUUCUUUGAAUCUUGGCUGGCUUGUGACUAUGAUGGAAGUGAUGAUAUGACUACUGAGGCUAAAAAAGUGAUAAAGCCUAUGGAACACUUGCUCGUGGAACUCUCCUACCACGCCAUGACAGAAGUCAAGCUACUCAUGGAGCGGCCACAUGGAGAGGAGCCAAGGUCUCCUUCAGCCACAGCUAAGCAAUCCAGCUGACAGCCAGCAUCAAUUUACCACCCACUUAAGAGAGCAAAGAAAUGCUCUAGCCCUGAGCUGAGCCUCCCUGAUAAUGCUGCUUAGAACAGAGAGGACCCUUCCCCAACAAGCUCUGCCCAAAUUGCAGAAUCAUUUGAUAGAUAGAUAAUUAUUAUUUCUAAGUUUGGGAUAAUCUGUUACACAACAACAGAUAACCUGAUAUUUGACUUAAAUUAUAGGCCAAAAUCAUUAUGUCUUGAUUUAUAUCAAUUUAUACUAUAUUAUUUUCCAAUGAAUGCAUGUACCAUGAUUUAAUUAGAUGUUUUCCGAAAAUUGGAUUUUCUUAGGGUUGCGUCCUUUAGUUCUUCCUUAUACUUAACAGGAGAAAGUAAAAUUUGUAAAGAUUGAGGGCAUAAAAAACACCUAUUGCUGAAAUAGAUCAUAAGAAAACAGUCGCUUUAAUAUCUCCCCACUGCCUAAAAUAAAAUUUCUGAAGCAUCUGUUAGAUUCUAGCAGAAAUUAUUUGACAUAAAGAGAUUAUCUUUCAUCAUUUAAAAAUGUAUGAGUUCUACCUUUAAAUACACGAUAUUUUAAUUUUGUAAAAUAAUUGUUUUUCUAUGUGCUUCUGACACUAAUAGACAAACACUCCCCCCCCCCAAUAUAACUAUCUUAAGACUAUUUUGUCUUAAUUUCUGGCCCUAAUAUUUCUAAUUCAAAAUAAACUCGAAAGAGAAAUAAAAAUUUACUUGUCAGAAUUUCAGAGAGUUUGGGGUUGGUAGAUGUAAACUACUACAUUUAGAAUGGAUGAGCAAUGAGGUCCUACUAUACUGCACAGGGAACUCUAUCCAAUCUCUUGGGAGAAAACAGAAUGGAAGAUAAUAUGAGAAAAAGAAUGUGUGUGUGUGUUUGUACAGCUGGGUCACUAUGCUGUACAGAAGAAACUGACACAACACUAUAAAUCAACUACACUUUAAAAAAAAUUUUUUUAAAUAAAGAAUUUCAAAGAGGGGCUCCAAAUGUCAUUCUUUGAUCAAGUGCCUGAACGGUACUCUCAGACUCCAGAGAGUUGUUUAAUGAUACAAAUUCUUGCUCCCUAUUCCACUCUCCAGCCCCCAAAAUACUCAUUCACCAGCUCUCAAAGAUGUGGGUAUUGGGUUGCUGGUAUUUAUCAUCCACUCCCUUCCAGGGCCCUACCCCAGAGCGAGGGAUCACCUCUUCUCUACAGCUGACUCCAGCUAAGCUCUAAGUCCUUGUGCUCCUGCUCCAGGGAGGGGACUCUUCCCUCCAAGUCUCACCUUGUCCUUCUCAAUAGGUUUAUGGUUUAAUCUUAUUUUCACUCUAAUUUUUCACAGGCCACUAACUCUUUUACAUGUCCACAGCUCUUUGGAUCCAGCGUUGCUGUGAGCUGUGGUGUAGGUCGCAGAUGUGGCUUGGAUCUGGCAUUGCUGUGGCUGUGGCAUGGGCCAGCAGCUAUAGCUAUGAUUAGACCCCCUAGCCUGGGAAUCCCCAUUAGCCAUGGGUGUGGCCCUAAAAAGACAAAAAUAAAAAUUAAAAAAAAUAAAAACGAAUACUUCUUUUGUCCCCAUUCCUUUUCCAGAUAAUAAUUUAUUUCUUACCUUCCUUAUCUUGCGUAUGUUUUUGAAUAAAUGUACAAAACCUUCUAAUUCCACCUCCUCUAAUCUGGUUUCUUUCCUAACUCCUCUGUUGCCAAAUUCAGACUUAUUCAGACUUUUUCAGUCUCCUUCACUCUUCUGCUGCAGCUUCUCCUUUCUUCUUGCAACAUUCAUUUGCUUGGCUUCCACAGCAUUCUGCCAUCCCAGCUUUUUUCUUAACCUUCUGGAUCUCUCUUUCCUGCCUUAAUCUCUUAAUGAUGCCUCUCUUACUCUGUAAAGAUAAUCAAGCAAUGCGGGCUCCUCUUCCACAAACCAUUCUCCUAACUUCCUUGCAAUGAAGAAUUGGAGCAUUUAUCUCCAUUUCUAAUUUAUUCCCGAUAUUAUACCCGUGUCAUUAACUAUUAACUAGAUAUUUAUUCUUAAAUUCCCUAACAUCAGAAACAAAAUGCUGAAAAAUGACCUCUUAUUUCCCUUGCCACCUGCAUGUUCCUCCAGAAACAACACAAACCCCUAAUUUAUUCUAUUAUUUAUAACCUACUACUACUACUAGGUGAUGAGAUUUUUUUUAAACAACAAAAAAAGAAAUACAUGAAAUCUAAAAAGCACGUAAAAUAAUGUCAAUUCAUAUCAUGAGAGGGAGUAGAUAAGUGUGCCAGAAAUAAUUCUCACUAACCGAUCUUUGAAUAUACUCAUUGAAAAAGAAAAAAAUACAUACAUGUAUGUAUUACUGGGUCACCAUACUGUACAGUAGAAAACUGACAGAAUACUGUAAACCAGCUACAAUGGAAAAAAAUUAAAAUCAUAAAAAAAUAUUUAAAAGCAUCUAUAAUUAUAUAGAGAGAUACAUUACAAAUAUUGGAAAAAUAAAUUUCUUUCCAAGUUUUUCGGCAAAUCUUGAAUCUCUGAAUUACAUUUUUCUGUAUCACAUGUUCUUCACAUAUUCUGAGUAUCAAGAUAUGCAAAAUUAUGUAAAAUUAGAACCAUGACAUUUUUCAAUGGAAAAAAUUCAGAAUCACUUAAGCUAAACUUCCAUUUUGUAGAUUUUAAUAAUAUGUAAAAAUGUAAAUUUUGAUUGAGGUGCAAAUAUUCUAAAGUCAGCUGUCAGACAAGAUUGUAAUUUUCGAAAGAACUAUCUGAAAACCAUGACUAUUAAACCUUUCAUCUUCACUAUUAUGAGUCAGUAUUUAGAGAUUAACAUAAAAAAGACUGAGGAGUAACUUUGGGGAGAGGGCUUCUGUGCAUGAUGAGGCCCCAUCCCCUAAUAAAACCAAGCAAUGUGGGCUCCUCUUCCACAAACCAGUCUCCUAACUUCCUUGCAAUGAAGAAUUGGAGCAUUUAUCUCAUUUCUAGGAGUGUGUGGGUACCUGCUCUGUGCCUCUAAGUUUAAUAUAUGGCCCACAAAGUUUCAGAGUGACAAGGUACAAUGGUGUGUGACUUUGCCUGUAAAAUCUAAAAGUGAGAGAGGGGUUCUUCACUUGCUCUGGUGGCAAGAGCUGUGUGAUGGAAUAAGCCUGCUUUCCCAGAGAUUCUUUAGUCAAAGAAUGUGUUUCCCAUGGACCCAUUCAUGGACCAUGUUUGAAAAAGUGCUGAUGUGGGGUCUUUGGAAGUCUUUUGAAGAGAGCCACCUAGAGAGAAUAUGAGACCUCAGAAGAAAUUGCAAGUGUCACUAAGUGCAUAUGGAUAUAAAAAGUGAAGUUCCCACUGUGGUGCAUGGGAUUAAUGAUCUAGUGUUGUCUCUGCAGCAGCUAGAGUUGCUGCUGAGGCUUAGGUUCAAUCCCUGGCCCGGUACAGUGGGUUAAGAAUCAGGAGUUGCCACAGCUGUGGCAUAGGUCACAGCUGCAGCUCAGAUUCGAUCUCUGGCCCAUAUGUUGCCAGUGCAGCCAAAAAAAAAGUAAUAAGCGACCAGAUAGAAUCAGGCUAUAUGUAUUUCCUGUUGGUUAAGGGAACAGGAAGUGAGUGAGAAGAUAGGACAGAAGGGGCCCACAACACAGAAUCAAGUUUAAAUAUGACUCCAUUCUUAAAACAAUACCAAUCAAGUAAAAACUUUAUUGUUCUUUUAUCUCUUCUUUACCGCUAUGACCUUGGAGAAUAGCUGGCCUUGCCCUUCUGCCCUACAUGCAGGCAAACACCCUGCCACAAAUCCAAUGUGGGUGCGAAAAGAAGCCUCAAACUUUAAAGUUUGCAGUUUUGAUUAUUACCUGGAACUGCUGGACAUAUUGAACAGUACUGAAUUGAGAUCAUUUGUAAUUAAAACCAUAGGCUUUCUACUACUGAAUAAAAGUGACCUGUAAAUCAUGAGACUUACAUGAGAUCUACCCAGGAGCAAGGGGAGAUUGGGUCUACUGAAGAGAGAGAAUUUCAUGACUACACACUGCACAUCUUGUCCACUUUCCAAGAGAGGUUAUAUACCCAUCUGUGUGUGCACAAAUGCAUACUCACACAUGAUGUUGAAUACACCACUACACUGUGGUGUUAAUUCUUCAAAUUUCACUUAGUAAAUUUUGUAUUUCAAAUUUUAGUUAAGAUAUAUCAUGAAAAUGCGAUGUAUUUUAAAUGCAUUUUAAGGAAAUUCUAAAGCUCAAAAAGCUUAUUUUUUAAAAUAUUAGAAUUUAUAAAAUAAUUCAUUAUCAAGUAUUAACUACCUCUUUGUUAGAAAAGAAAGGAAAUUAAAUCUGGGAUUCAAUGGAUAAAUUAUCUUGACUGAUGAAAUGA
rnacentral:lncRNA from 1 species